rnacentral:rRNA from 1 species
GAUGAACGCUGGCGGUCUGCUUAACACAUGCAAGUCGAACGAACUCUUCGGAGUGAGUGGCGGACGGGUGAGUAACGCGUGAGAAUCUGCCUGUGGGUCGGGGACAACCACUGGAAACGGUGGCUAAUACCGGAUGAGCCGAAAGGUAAAAAGAUUUAUUGCCCACAGAUGAGCUCGCGUCUGAUUAGCUAGUUGGUAAGGUAAAAGCGUACCAAGGCGACGAUCAGUAGCUGGUCUGAGAGGAUGAGCAGCCACACUGGGACUGAGACACGGCCCAGACUCCUACGGGAGGCAGCAGUGGGAAUUUUCCGCAAUGGGGGAAACCCUGACGCAGCGACGCCGCGUGCGGGAAGAAGGCUUUCGGGUCGUAAACCGCUGUCAGGAGGGAAGAAC